rnacentral:rRNA from 1 species
AUUGAACGCUGGCGGCAGGCCUAACACAUGCAAGUCGAGCGGAGCGGCGGACGGGUGAGUAAUGCCUAGGUAUCUGCCUGGUAGUGGGGGAUAACGUCCGGAAACGGGCGCUAAUACCGCAUACUAUCAGAUGAGCCUAGGUCGGAUUAGCUAGUUGGUGGGGUAAAGGCCUACCAAGGCGACGAUCCGUAACUGGUCUGAGAGGAUGAUCAGUCACACUGGACCUGAGAAACGGUCCAGAAUCCUAGGGAAGGAAGAAGUGGGGAACAUUGGAAAAUGGGGGAAAGCCUGAUCCAGCCAUGCCGCGUGGGUGAAGAAGGUCUCGGGAUUGUAAAGCCCUUGAAGUUGGGAGGCGUUACCAACAGAAUAAGCACCGGCUAACUUCGUGCCAGCCGCCGCGGUAAUAC